CAAUGCGCGAAAGCCUGAACCAGCAACGCCGCGUGGAGGAUGACGGCCUUCGGGUUGUAAACUUCUUUGGCCGGGGGACGAAUAGAUGACGGUACCCCGACAACAAGUCACGGCUAACUACGUGCCAGCAGCCGCGGUAAAACGUAGGUGGCGAGCGUUAUCCGGAUUUACUGGGCGUAAAGGGUGUGCAGGCGGGACCUCUAGUGGUGCAUGAAAGCUCUCGGCUUAACCGGGAAAUGGUGUGCCAGACUGAAGACCUAGAGGGUGGGAGAGGGACGUGGAAUUCCGGGUGUAGUGGUAAAAUGCGUAGAGAUCCGGAGGAACACCAGAGGCGAAGGCGGCGUCCUGGCCCACACCUGACGCUCAUCCACGACAGCAUGGGGAGCGAACGGGAUUAGAAACCCCGGUAGUCCAUGCCGUAAACGAUGCCGACUAGGCGCUGGGGGUCUUAACCCCCUCGGUGCCGUAGCUAACGCGCUAAGUCGGCCGCCUGGGGAGUACGA
rnacentral:rRNA from 1 species